UUUGCAGGGAGGCUUUCCUCUUCCGUCCUGUGUCUCCUCCUGACCUUCUGUCAGACUCACUCGUCGGUCAGUGAACGGGUCCGUUGCUGCUAGAACCAUGGUGGCGUACUGGAGACAAGCCGGGCUUAGUUAUAUCCGCUACUCUCAGAUCUGCGCGCAGGCAGUGAGAGCGGCGCUGAAACCACAAUUUAAAGCAGAGGCAGAGAAGGUGGCAGGUGCCAACGUGAAGGUCGUCAAACCGAAGAAAGAAGCCUGAUCACUUGAAAAUAAUAUUCAGGAAGUGACCGCACAUGAAUUCAGUGUCUGAGCAAUAUGUCUACAUUUGUCAUUGUCCCCUUUCUACAUUAAACUCUAUGACUGUGUAAAACA